AGUGAACGCUGGCGGUAGGCCUAACACAUGCAAGUCGAACGGCAGCACAGUAAGAGCUUGCUCUUACGGGUGGCGAGUGGCGGACGGGUGAGGAAUACAUCGGAAUCUACUUUUUCGUGGGGGAUAACGUAGGGAAACUUACGCUAAUACCGCAUACGACCUACGGGUGAAAGCAUGGGAUCUUCGGACCUUGCGCGAUUGAAUGAGCCGAUGUCGGAUUAGCUAGUUGGCGGGGUAAAGGCCCACCAAGGCGACGAUCUGUAGCUGGUCUGAGAGGAUGAUCGGCCACACUGGAACUGAGACACGGUCCAGACGCCUACGGGAGGCAGCAGUGGGGAAUAUUGGACAAUGGGCGCAAGCCUGAUCCAGCCAUACCGCGUGGGUGAAGAAGGCCUUCGGGUUGUAAAGCCCUUUUGUUGGGAAAGAAAAGCAGCAGGUUAAUACCCCGCUGUUCUGACGGUACCCAAAGAAUAAGCACCGGCUAACUUCGUG
rnacentral:rRNA from 1 species